rnacentral:tRNA from 1 species
GGAAAAAUGACAUAGUAAAAGUUUUUGACUGGCAGUCAAGAGGUCAUCGGUUCGAUUCCGAUAUUCUCCACCC